rnacentral:lncRNA from 1 species
ACCAUCCAUCUCAGGCACAACCCCUUCAAGUUUCCUACCUAUAUCAGCCAAAUAGAGUGAUUCAAAUCAAGGUUUUGGCUGGAAAAUCCCAGAAAUGCAAAUUAUCUCAGCUUUCUGCUUCUUCCAGUGUGUCUUUAUGGGUCCAAAUCAGUCUUAACCCUGCAGAAAUACAGACAUUUCCGUGUGAUUCCACAUGCAGGACUGGUCAGUAUAAAGCAAAUAAGUGACACUCGUGGAUGUUGGAUCAUGUGUCAUCUUGUUGGAUGUGCCUCCAGAUUUGAUGAGAAUGUCACCAUGAAUGUCCAUUGGCAAACUGGAUAAGAAAGAGUGUCACAGUGCAGGACAACCUAGAAGAUGACAGCUACAGCACAAGGUUCCCUGACAAUGUAUGACAGCAUGUGACAGAAAAAUAUUUUGAUUUUUUUUUCUUUUUUGGUCAUUUGAUGCUAUUUGAGAUAAAUCUGAAGCCCCAGCAGCAGCUGAUAAAUCUACCAAACUACUUUAGCAGAGGUUUUUACCUAUUCACAAUUGAACUGGAGGGUCUGGGGUGUGUGUUCGUGUGUUUGUAGUGGAAUCCAAACAAGAAAGCUGGGAAAUGAUCUAAACCCUUUGAGGUUAA